rnacentral:lncRNA from 1 species
UUGUUUAACUUGAUUUUAAUUAACACCACAUAUUAACUAAUUCUUCACAUCUAUCUCUUAGAUCUAGGAUUCUUUAGGUUCUUAUAUUUAGAAUUCUCUCCCCUCAUACUUCUUCUCAUUCUUCAAAAAAAAAACAAAAAGGAUUGCUCUGAUCUAGAAUCCUUGAUUUCAUAUUUGAAUAAUCAGAACAAUCCGAGAUAGAUCUUGAUAGU